rnacentral:rRNA from 1 species
AUGCAGUGCCUCCUUGCUCUGCCAUGUUGUGCCACCGCCAUUGCUUGGCCGCUGUCUUGCACUCGGUUCGCACCAUACUCCUUGUACUUGCUUGCAGUAGAUCCACUCUUCACUACUCGCACACCUCCUCGCUUUACGAUGGAUUCGCCUACCAUCGUCCGCCUUCGGCAUCACACCGAAUCCACACUGGCCGCAACCAGGACGCUCCACGAGGACGUGGACAUGACUCACGGAACACCGUGCAUACUGCAUCCACUCCAACGAAUCAUCACCAAGACGAGCACUUGGACACGACGACGACUCACAGACGCAACGACAACUGACCGUGCAAACUCGCACGACUCCAUGACUCAUCCGACUCCCCCAGAUGAUGAUCUUGAUGAGCUCCAGCACCGCACCUCGGCACCACCUCCCCCAUCAAUGAUCUUCUUUCACCGCCUUGCCGACGACAACCUGCCGUCUCCCUCCUUGUCUCUCCAAUGA